GUACCUACGGGGCGCAGCAGUGGGGAAUAUUGCACAAUGGGGGAAACCCUGAUGCAGCGACGCCGCGUGAAGGACGAAGUAUUUCGGUACGUAAACUUCUAUCAGCAGGGAAGAAAAUGACGGUACCUGACCAAGAAGCCCCGGCUAACUACGUGCCAGCAGCCGCGGUAAUACGUAGGGGGCAAGCGUUAUCCGGAUUUAUUGGGCGUAAAGCGAGUGCAGGCGGUUCAAUA
rnacentral:rRNA from 1 species